rnacentral:rRNA from 1 species
GACGUAGGGGGCAAGCGUUGUCCGGAAUCAUUGGGCGUAAAGAGCGUGUAGGCGGCUCGAUAAGUCUGCUGUGAAAGUCCAGGGCUCAACCCUGGAAGGCCGGUGGAAACUGUCGGGCUAGAGUCCGGAAGAGGCGAGUGGAAUUCCCGGUGUAGCGGUGAAAUGCGCAGAUAUCGGGAGGAACACCUGCGGCGAAGGCGGGUUGCUGGGCCGACACUGACGCUGAGGCGCGAAAGCCAGGGGAGCGAACGGG